rnacentral:rRNA from 1 species
GAGCAGGAGUGGAUUGGGAGUGUGAAGAAAAACAAACACGAAGCUUCGUUCCUCAGCAAAGUGUUCACUUCUUUUUCGCCAGGUUUCAUUCGAUUUGUUGUGGAUUGUAUGAUGGAAAAACCAACAAGCUACGACUUCAAAGCUUACCUUAUUUAGAAAAUGAAAAAGGGCUUUUUUUAAUAGAUGUUGAGGUUGAGUAAGAGGGGCAGAGCUUGAAGAGCGAAGCGAGCCGCGCUAGCCUAGCAAUGUUUUUCAGCAGCAAGCUAUGGUCUAAUGACCCCCUAACCUAGGUUGGGGCAAAAACUCCAAAAUUCAAAAUGUUGGUUAGGGUUUCAAACCUUUCUCUAAUAAUAAGGUAAACUUUCAAGCCGACGCCCUUUAAAGGAGUGGGGCGCAGUGAACUGUAAUUAUGAAAAGAUUGGAAGAUCUGGCCAAAGAAGGUGAUAGCCCUGUAGAUUUGUUCCCAUGGUUCGAUCCUUCCCAGUAAAAUGCGACGUGUUUGAAUUCUAAGCCUAAGUAUUCCUCAAUGACCAAUAGCGUACAAGUACCGUGAGGGAAAUGCGAAAAGAAUACUAUUUAGGGAGUGUAAUAGAGAACCUGAGAUCCGAUGCAAACAAUCAGUCGAAGGAGCGGAGCUUAGAGCCAUUACUUUAUGUAAAAUUCACUUACUCUAACGACAUACCUUUUGCAUGAUGGGUCAGCGAGGAAAUGGGAACCGCGGCUUUAGCCAUUAGGUGUAGGCGCUUUCCAGAGGUGGAAUCUUCUAGUUCUUCCUAUUUGACCCGAAAUCAAUCGAUCUAGCCAUAAGCAGGUUGAAGAGAGCUCUAAUAGGCCUUAGAGGACCGAACCCAUGUAUGUGGAAAAAUACGGGGAUGAUUUGUGGCUAGGGGUGAAAGUCCAACCAAGAUCGAAUAUAGCUAGUUUUCUGUGAAAUCUAUUUCAGUAGAGCGUAUGAUGUCGAUGGCCCGUGGUACAACACUCAAUGGGCUAGGGUGACCUCAGUUUUCCUUACCAACCUAGGGAAACUCCGAAUACAGGCCUAGUUCAUUUGUAUAAAUAGACUUUUUGGGUGCUAAAAUCCAAAGUCGAGAGGAAAACAACCCAGAUCGUACGCUAAGGUCCCUAAGCAAUCACUUAGUGGAAAAGGAAGUGAUCGAGCGAUGACAACUAGGAGGUGGUCUUGGAAGAAGCCAUCCUUUGAAUAAAGCGUAAUAGCUCACUGGUCUAGCUCCAUGGCACCGAAAAUGUAUCAUGGCUCAAGUGAUUCACCGAAGCGACGAGACCUUGAAAGAUGCUUUUUUAAGUGUCAGUAGUGGAACAUUCUGUCAAUUGGGGAAGGUUUUUGGUGACAAGACAUUGAGAUAUCAGAAGUGAGAAUGCUGACAUGAGUAAUGAAAAAUCCUGUGAAAUACAAGUUCGCCUUCCAGUGGAAGGUUUUCUGCAUUCAGUCAAUCUACACAGAGUGGAUCGAUCCCUAAGAAACCCUCGAAAGGGCUGUCAUCUAAUGGGUACAUGAAAGUGACGAAGUUGCUUUGACUACAGACCCAUGCCUGUCUAUUCGAGAGAAUUGGAUGAUCGGGCCGAGGGCUGCCCCCUCUUCCCCUCACCCUCUUUUUCCUAAUAUGAACCUUGAGUCAUCAAAGCCUUUCGGACUCGAACUGUCCAGGUCGCCCUACGCGACUCGCACUUCAAAAGGCAAAACUCUCGGUCGUAGUUUGACAACUUAUCUUCAGUGGCGGCCUUUAGUCUUUUGAUUAUAGUAGGGGUCGCGAGAGAGUAGAGCGUAUCGCCCUACCAUAGUCAUGAGUCUGUUUAUAGUCGCGACUGUUGUCAUAGUCAACAAGGUUGAAACUUCCAGGAAAAAACUUUGAAUUGGGAGGGCGAUCCUCCCAGUGAACUGACCGUACCCCAAACAGACACAGGUGAAUGAUAGAGUAUACUAGGGCGCUUGAGAGAACCAUGUCGAAGGAACUCGGCAAAAUGACCCCGUAACUCAGGGAGAAUGGGUGCUCUCCUAUCUUUUGAUUAGGAAAGCUACACAUAACAGGGGUUAGCGAUUGUUUAUUAAUAACACAGGACUUUGCUAAGUGGUAACAUGAUGUAUAGAGUCUGACACUUGCUCGGUGUUGGAAGGUCGGGAGGAGAAGUGUUAUAAGCUUUGAAUGGAAGCCCCGGUAAAUGGCAGCAGUAACUCUAACUGUCCUAAGGUAGCAAAAUUCCUUGUCGCAUAAGUAGCGAUCUGUACGAAUGGUAUAACAACUGCCCCGCUAUCUCCGACAUGGACCCAGUGAAAUUGAAUUCUAUGUGAAGAUGCGGAGUACCAAAGGCUAGAGGGUAAGACCCCAUUCACCCUUAACUAUAGCUUCACAGUGACAACCUUAAUCGAAUGUGUAGGAUAUGUGGGAUGUGGUGGCACACAAUGACCAAUCCUGAAAGAUCACUCUUUCAUCUAAGGAUGCCUAACCGUNACCUUAAUCGAAUGUGUAGGAUAGGUGGGAGGUGGUGACACACAACGACCAAUCCUGAAAGACCACUCUUUCGUCUAAGGAUGCCUAACCGCCGCACCGAUCAUUCGGGGGGAGGCGGGACACUGCGAGGUGGGUAGUUUAUCUGGGGCGGAUGCCUCCUAAAGAGUAACGAAGGUGUGUGAAGGUAGGCUCAAGCUAAUAUUCUGCUCGUGAGCGUAAUGGUAUAAGCCUGCCUGACUGUGAGACCGACUGGUCGAACAUAGACGAAAGUCGGCCAUUUUGAUCCGGGAGUCCCGUAUGGAAGGGUUUUCGGUCAACGGAUCAAAGGUACGCCGAGGAUAACAUGCUAAUGACUCCCAAGAGCUCUUAUCUAUGGAGUCAUUUGGCACCUCGAUGUCAACUCAUCAUAUCAUGGGGUUGAAGAAGGUCCCAAGUGUUCGGUUGUUCGCCGAUUCAAGUGGUACGUGAGUUAGGUUUAGAACAUCGUGAGACAGUUCGGUUCCUAUCUACUAUUGGUGUUAAAGGGAGAACUGCGAGGAGCCAACCCUAGUACGAGAGGACUGGGUUGGGCUAACCUAGGGUGUACCGGUUGUUAUGCCAAUAACAGCGCCGAGCAACUAAGUUGGUAUGGAAGAACUGCAGCGCCGCGGGAAAUUCUUUUCUAUACAAGUUCUCGGACGAGGUUUUUAAAUAGAACUUCGAUAGGUGAGAGGUGUAAGCACCGCGAGGUGUGAAGCAAUAUCGUACUAAAUAAAACGACUUUCACUU